UUUACUUACGUUUAGUGGAAUUACAUUCUUCUAAGUCACACAGUUCAUUCCAAUAUAGACUACAUUCUCUCGGUAAGGCAGCAAAAAAGUUUAUUUCCUACUAUUUUUCAAUAAAA